GAUGAACGCUGGCGGCGUGCCUAAUACAUGCAAGUCGAGCGAACGGACGAGAAGCUUUCUCCUCUGAUGUUAGCGGCGGACGGGUGUGUAACACGUGGAUAACCUACCUAUAAGACUGGUAUAACUUCGGGAAACCGGAGCUAAUCCCGGAUAAUAUUUUGAACCGCAUGGUUCAAAAAUGAAAGACGGUCUUGCUGUCACUUAUAGAUCGAUCCGAGCUGCAUUAGCUAGUUGGUAAGGUAACAGCUUACCAAGGCAACGAUGCAUAGCCGACGUGUGAGGGUGGUCAGCCACACUGGAACUGAGACACGGUCCAGACUCCUACGGGAGGCAGCAGUAGGGAAUCUUCCGCAAUGGGCGGAAGCCUGACGGAGCAACGCCGCGUGAGUGAUAAAGGUCUUCGGAUCGUAAAACUCUGUUAUUAGGGAAGAACAUAUGUGUAAGUAACUGUGCACAUCUUGACGGUACCUAAUCAGAAAGCCACGGCUAACUACGUG
rnacentral:rRNA from 1 species